rnacentral:pre_miRNA from 14 species
GAUUUAAGUUAUAGUGUAACAUGUAGUUUACUAUUGAAAGAUCCCGGAAGAGAGACCCUUACUCAAGUCUUGGGAAGUCGCGGACCCCAGACACAGAGACACCA